rnacentral:lncRNA from 1 species
UGUGAUUUUUGGACUUGUUGGUGAAUAUGCUUGUGAAGGGCUAUACCUUGCUGAAGGAUUGUAACUUGGUGAGGUUGGACUGUAAGUUGGUGAGGUGGGACUGUAUCCAGGCGAAGUUGGGCUGUAGGCAGGUGAGGUUGGGCUAUAUGAUGGCGAGGUUGGGCUGUACGAUGGAGAGGUUGGGCUAUAUGAAGGUGAGGUUGGGCUGUAAGAUGGAGAGGUUGGGCUGUAAGAGGGUGAGGUAGGGCUGUAAGAGGGUGAUGUGGGGCUGUAAGACGGAGACGUGGGGCUGUAAGCCGGAGAGGUUGGGCUAUACGCAGGUGAGGUUGGGCUGUAUGCUGGAGAAGUUGGGCUGUAGCUCGGAGAUGUAGGGCUGUAGCUCGGAGAUGUGGGGCUAUAGCUAGGAGAUGUUGGGCUGUAGGAAGGAGACGUUGGUGAAUAAGAUGGGCUUGUGGGAGAAUACGCAGGGCUUGUAGGACUAUAUCCAGGAGAACUAGGACUAUAUGUUGGGGACGUAGGGCUGUAACCAGGGGAAGUAGGACUGUACCCAGGUGAGGUGGGGCUGUAUCCAGGAGAUGACGGGCUGUAUCCAGGAGAUGAAGGGCUGUACCCUGGAGAUGAUGUAGGAGAAAACGCCAUCCCGCCCACAUACGGAGAAAACUGAGCAUCUGAAACAGGAGAUAACCGAAGAUUUGGGCUCAGCAUAUAAUUUGGUGACAUCAUGCCAUCAUGAUAUGGGGUCCCUGAGAUGGGUGAACGGCCAGGAGUCAUGCCAAACUCCAGUCCACCUUCCAUAUAACUGGGCAGAGGGAUCUCAAUAGCUUGUUUAGCAUCUCUUCAUUCAUAUACAAAGCACAAUCACCUGUGCCAAUAGGUGCAAGCUGUCCUAACAUGAUAUUCUCAGUUACACCCCUGAGGUAAUCUGUUUCUGCAUACACAGCAGCAUCAAGAAGAAUGUCCACUGUUUCUUCAAAGGAGCAUCUCAUCAUGGGGCCAGUAUCGUUGCGAUUGAUACCAUGACGGGUGAUGGCCAUCAAGUGACCACGAUAUGUCAUGGUAUCACACAAUAUAGCCAAAUGUCUAUAGUUCACGUAAGACCCAUCAAAUGAUAUGACAACACGCAACUCAUCCAGCAAGGCUUUGCGAACUGCCUCAAUGCCAAGAACUUCAAUAACUUCAAUCAAAUGAUUGCUUGUUGUCCUACUUGCAUCUACAUCUUCAUGGCAAAUUACAGCUAAAAGAUUAACACCUUCGGUGUCAAGCAUCCACUCAUUCUCAGCCUUGAAGCCUUCAUUUUCAUCAAACUUAUUUACCUUGCCAUUCUUUAUGAACACCUUAUUGAUAUCUGGUAUGCCUCGAAGAGCCAUUUCUGUAAGCAUGUUACCCUCAAUCUUUUUGAGGAAGACAUCAUCCUCAGCAGAUUCAUCAUUCAACUCACCUUUAGGGGCUUCAUCAUUCAUAAUACGAAUACGAAGGAUAAGCUUUUCAGCAUUAUCAUCAUUAAAUAUGCACGUUAGAUCACUAUCAAAUUCAGCAUUAAUCUUAUGGGAAAUAUCAGCCAUGUUGAGUUUCUUAUCCACCAUCAUUUCUCUGUUUAACUCUAUGCGAAGCAACCACGGAGAGAUCUUGUCGGGGUCAACAUCAUCAUCUGGCAUCUCAAAGUAGGACGUCACAAAUUCAACAUCUUCCUCAAUAAUAGUGCUCUUAGGAUCUGGAUCGUACCAUACCUCUGUUGCUUGUGUUACACUCCGCAAGGUUGUAUACUCCAGAGCGCACUGGACAUUUUUGGCCUUCUCCUUAGUUUUGCUUACACCAGGCUUCAAGUAUACCGAGAGNAGGUAAUCUGUUUCUGCAUACACAGCAGCAUCAAGAAGAAUGUCCACUGUUCUCAAAGGAGCAUCUCAUCAUGGGGCCAGUAUCGUUGCGAUUGAUACCAUGACGGGUGAUGGCCAUCAAGUGACCACGAUAUGUCAUGGUAUCACACAAUAUAGCCAAAAUGUCUAUAGUUCACGUAAGACCCAUCAAAUGAUAUGACAACACGCAACUCAUCCAGCAAGGCUUUGCGAACUGCCUCAAUGCCAAGAACUUCAAUAACUUCAAUCAAAUGAUUGCUUGUUGUCCUACUUGCAUCUACAUCUUCAUGGCAAAUUACAGCUAAAAGAUUAACACCUUCGGUGUCAAGCAUCCACUCAUUCUCAGCCUUGAAGCCUUCAUUUUCAUCAAACUUAUUUACCUUGCCAUUCUUUAUGAACACCUUAUUGAUAUCUGGUAUGCCUCGAAGAGCCAUUUCUGUAAGCAUGUUACCCUCUAAUCUUUUUGUAGGAAGACAUCAUCCUCAGCAGAUUCAUCAUUCAACUCACCUUUAGGGGCUUCAUCAUUCAUAAUACGAAUACGAAGGAUAAGCUUUUCAGCAUUAUCAUCAUUAAAUAUGCACGUUAGAUCACUAUCAAAUUCAGCAUUAAUCUUAUGGGAAAUAUCAGCCAUGUUGAGUUUCUUAUCCACCAUCAUUUCUCUGUUUAACUCUAUGCGAAGCAACCACGGAGAGAUCUUGUCGGGGUCAACAUCAUCAUCUGGCAUCUCAAAGUAGGACGUCACAAAUUCAACAUCUUCCUCAAUAAUAGUGCUCUUAGGAUCUGGAUCGUACCAUACCUCUGUUGCUUGUGUUACACUCCGCAAGGUUGUAUACUCCAGAGCGCACUGGACAUUUUUGGCCUUCUCCUUAGUUUUGCUUACACCAGGCUUCAAGUAUACCGAGAGAGAGGGUGUUUUAAUUUUCUUAGCAACAUUAAUAAUCUCCCUCAACCUUGGAACACCUAAAGUUAACAAUUCUUGGCACUCACACCAGCAUAGUGAAAUGUAUUGAGGGUCAUCUGUGUAGCAGGUUCACCAAUGGAUUGUGCAGCAACACAUCCUAUCAUUUCACCAGCAGCAACAAGUGACUGAAGAAAACGGGAUUCUAUCUCGCCAACUACCCAGUCAAAAGCCUCACGGGUAAGUCUGUACUCCUUCAGGACCCUUUUACUUGCUAAAGCACUACGAAGCAAUAUAUUGAAGAAAAGAGUAGCAUUCUUCUGUGCUUCCAAACUCAGAUAAUCAUCACCAACAACCACCUUAAGCCUUUCUUGUAACUUAUCAACAGCUUCUACAAUCUCCAUUGGAUGCAUAUCAGACGGUCUCCGAAAAUCAACUCUAAAGGUCUUCUGUGCAUUCAAAACAAGCCUCUUGAUGUUGACAGGGAGGGGCCAAGAAUUGUCACCCGUGGUGGCAAUCUCUGUUCCAAGUUGAUACCUAUCGGCUUCAAGUUUCUGAACCUCUGCAUCAAACACACUGCGGAUUUCACGAAUCGUUUUCAGAUCUUCCACAGCUUCAGGUAACAUAUAAUUAGGAUUCCAGUUUGGGUGAUCAAUCUCAUAUUUGUACAUGUCAUUGAAAUCCGAUCUCUUCAACUUCAGUGAUUCCAAAGGCUGUGAUUCAAUCCAAACUGCAUCCAUACCAUCUUCCCCGUACAGAAACUGAAUCACAUCACCUAACGAAUUCCUAACAGUCCCAUCAUACUUAACCAUGAUAUCUUCCAUAGCCUUCACCAAUCGCCUCUGAAUAUAUCCAGUCUCAGAAGUUUUCACUGCAGUGUCAAUAAGACCUUCCCUACCACCCAUGGCAUGGAAAAAGAACUCUUGAGGAGACAAUCCUCGAAGAUAUGAGUUCUCCACAAAACCACGACUCUCUGGACCAUAAUCAUCUUUGGUGAAGUGUGGAAGUGUGCGAUCCACAAAACCAAAAGGAAUUCGCUUGCCUUCAACAUUCUGCUGACCCACACAUGCAGUCAUCUGAGAAAUAUUGAUGAAACUUCCCUUAGACCCUGCAGUGACCAUAGCUUUGAGGUUGUUACUUUCUGCCAAGCUCUUCUGAGCACUGCUUCCAGCAUCAUCACGAGCCUUAUUCAACACCUGAAGGCACAAAACAUAUAUAAGGGAAUCACCAGGCUGCAGCAAGGAAAUCAAAAUUUUUAACAAACCUGGUUAACUCUGUUCUCGAACGAUUCCAUCAUUGUUCUUCCUGGCUCAGCUUCCAAUUGCUUUUCUUGUGCAGCCCUGAUAAGUUCAUUCACCUCAUUCUUAGCUUUGUUAAUAGUUUCAGAGAUCUUCGUCAUUGUAUCAUGAUCAGCAAUUGUAUCUCCAAUUCCCAUGCUAAAAGCGUUCUGCAAAAGCCAAUAAUUGACCAGCCAUUGUGUAUGUCCCAAAAAUUUCCGAGCUGCAUCUGGACCGACUUCUUCCCUGAGACCAGUAUACAUUAUAUUAAACACAUAAAUAUGAAUAAAGAAUCUUUCGGGCUUUCAGUUCAUUAUUAUAAUAUUUAUUACUCCUUGUUUCAUGUGCCAUAUCAUAUGUUUUGAUGUCACAAAUGCUAUAAUAUUCACACAGAAGAGCUACUAGAGUGGAGGAAGACUGAUAUAUGCAAAAGCUAAAUUGUUAAAGAGUACAGAAAUUUUCAAUAAGAUACUCAUGUAGUUUUAAACUUCUGAAGAAAAUUAAUCUUCUCUUCUACAAAUUCCGAUGGAGUAAGCAAAGGAACACUUUCUUGAAAUGGCAUUAGUUUUAUUGAUAUCUAUAAUGAGUGCAAGCAUGGAGAUUGAUAAAGUGUUUUGUCUGCAAAGAAACAGUACCCAUUUUUUUGUGCCAAAAGGAGAAUCUUUUUGCUAGUGAAAAGAGAGGGUAUUUCAUUGGUAACUCAAGCAAGUUCUUUUGAAAGUAUUACUUCUUCAAUCAACAUAUUGCGAGUUCUGACUCAUUUGCGAGAUCCUAGAAUAUAUAAAUAAAAGACACCAACUUCAUUUAAAGUAUUUGCAUACAUAUGCUCCCAAUCCCCAUUGCCCAUAGAGCAAUGGACCAAUUUAAUACAACAUGAAUUCUUCAGAAGAUAAAAGUGAAAGUCAUGCUUUUGCUCUUAAAUUUAAGGUUGAACGAAAAAUGUGACCCGCAAACAGCCCCAUACCUCCAUUUUACCCAACUUUCCACUUAUUACAUUUUGCUACUAGAUACUUCAGGUAUGUUACCCGCAAUCAGCCCCAAUUCAUAAUAUGGAUAAGUUGGGUGGGCGUUUAGGAGACAAUAGUUUCCUUUCAAAACCCACCAAAUGCAGAAAUGGUACUGCAAAAAUUCCAGAAAGAACGUACCAAAUAACAUGUAUGAGACUUCCACUAGAUGACCCGAGUGUUUUCUUGCAUAGGGUGCCUGAAAGUAACUCCCCUUUUUCUAUCCGUACUUGAGUAUCCCCAGGAGUAAUAAAUCCUUUUUCAGUUUCUUGAUGCCAUGAAGAAUACCUUAAUAGAUUUAUCUGUCUUGGAAUGAUUAAAUUAAAUACUUGUUUCCCAGUCCAAAGAGGCUUAGGUUUCAGAAUUGUUGGAGCAGGUACUUUGCCAUCAAAAUCCUCCCACCACAUAAGGAUGUUCAUAAAAACAUCCUGCGAACAAUACAGACAGCGAUAUCAGAUUGAAUGUGGACACUUACCUAAAAAUUACAUAAUGAUGACAGAAAAUCAAAUGUUACCUUGUCAAUAAAAGUAUCUCUCUUAGUGAUUUUGCGACAUCCUAGUAGUGUAUCCUGCACAAUACCCAUUACAGGUCGAUUUGAUUGAGGUGACACGAUGCAUUUUGGAACCAUCAUUAAUUCCAGAACUUCGGCUCUAGUUUCAAAUGACUGGGGCACGUGCAUAUUCAUUUCAUCUCCAUCAAAAUCAGCAUUGUAGGGUGAGGUAACAGACAGAUUUAAGCGGAAUGUUGAAUAUGGCAUAAUCUUGAUUCUGUGGCCCAUAAUGGACAUCUUAUGGAGACUCGGUUGCCGAUUGAACAGGACAAAGUCUCCAUCAUUUAAAUGUCUCUCAACCUGUACCAUCAAAUAAUAGGAAUCAGGUGUCAAAAGGAAUCCAAUGCUUGAUCAUUCUCAAUUAUAUAGCUGGGAGUCUCACCUUAUAUCCAAGUUCUAGAUGCUGAUCACUACUCUUUUUCAAGUACCGGAGAUCAAGCCUCUGUCCAUCAUCCCUAAUAAUAUAUUUUGCGCCAGUUUUACCAGGAGGGGGAUGAGGUCCAUAUUCCACAAGCUCUUUCAAUCUAUUUUCAAGGUCAAUAUCUGGUUAACAAGAAUAACCAAAAAGUAUAGAGGGAUCACUAUCAAGAAAUAUGGUAAGAGUGCCUAACCUUUCGAUGUUAUAUGGAGUUACAGUUUCAGGAUAUGUAAGAUUUAAGGCAAUACUCCAAGGCACACCCAGCUGGUCGAUGUUGAUUGUUGGGUCAGGUGUAAUCACAGUCCGAGCCGAAAAAUCUACUCGCUUACCCAUCAAGUUACCUCUGAUCCUACCAUCUUUUGCCUUAAGCCUGCUACAUAUUGAUUUAAUGGGUCUGCCAGAUCUUUGGGUAGCCUGAUGUAUACAAGGAUACUUCACUUGUUAGAUAAAUGAUGUUCCAGGAACUGCAUCCACAGUCUCAAUAUACUGAAAUAAUAUAACAUACUCUUGGUUGACCAGGUAAAUCGUUAUCAAAGUAUGUAGCCACAUGGAACUGCAGCAACUGUGCAAACUCAGAGAUGAUGUGUGCAGGAGCCCCAUUCCGCUCCUGCCUCUUUAAGUUCUCAUUAUGCCUAAUGAUCAUGGCCAGUUGAUGAGUUAAAUCAUCCUGCAUAAAUUGAUUCAAUUAUUAGAUUCUCCUGCAACUUAAAAGCAGCAAUCCGAGGAACAUGCAAUUGAUUGACUUGAUCAGUUUGCAGUGAACAGAACCCGAUACACUUAUCUGACCUAAAGGAACAAUUAGGGGUAAUCUAAACACCCAUGACAUUGUAGAGAUCAAAAGGAGAAGUCAUGCCUCACUCCGAGAAGAAGUAUCCAUCAUUACAGAAGGCCUAACUGGAGGAGGAGGGAUUGGAAGAACUUGAAGAAUCAUCCAGUCAGGGCGAGCAUAUUUUGGAUUCAAGCCCAACAACUGACAAUCUUCAUCAGUAAUUCUCUUCAGUAUGCUGAGCACCUGAAACAAAAAGGAAAUAGAGAUUGUUGGGAUUAGCGCAUAAAUCAAUCUAUCACAUUAUCCAGGCUGGAAAAAAAAGUUUGAAUCCCUAUUCUCUGGCAAUUUAUGAUAUAUGAUACCUUCUCUGCAGAGAGAAGUUGUUUUCGUUCAACAGGUUCAGGCAUCUGGUCCUGGUCAUCACUUUUCUUCUUCUGAAUCUUGUAUUCAGCAACCAUUUUCAUCCCAUCUAUAGAAAUCUUUGGCUGCUGAGCACCGCAUCCACCCCUAGACUUCUUCACAGGUUCUUCCGAAUCUUGACCUCGCACAUCGAUCUCAUCACCUCCUUCACAUUUGGAUUUGUUUUUGCAGGCAUCUAAUAUCUUCUUUAAUCUAUUCUUAGGGUUUCUAAUUCUCAUUGCUUGCUUGAACUUGGGAUCGUCCUAGAAAAAUUAACAAGGGAUCAAAAUACAUUGCAAAAGAAAACGAUUGUUCCAACUUCCAAGUAACUUUAUUUCCAUUUGAAGUAUAAUAUUCAGGCAAUAAUGAAAAUAACUAACUUUUACAACAGCAACACUCCUAGGAGAUGCAUCCAGAUGAUGAAAUACCUCAAACUGCUUCUAUCUUACCAAUAUGCAUUUCUAUAAAAGUAACACAAUUAUUGAAGACAUAACAGAACCUAGAAGCCUAAAACUGGAUCGUUGCUAGUCAUAAGUCUUACUAUCCAGUCACUCUUGCAAGUAAUAAGAAUGUUACAAUUAAAUCAGUUGCCCAGUUCAGGAUGGUCAUGAAUAAGACAGAAGUCUGACCCUCCUAGUAUACGAACAUAUACAUGAAAUAAGCAUUUUCCGUGAAUCCAGCAUAUGUUAUACACUUCUGAAAAAUUCAGUCUGCUACUCAGGCCUCACAACAGCGGAAUCAAUAGUCAUACCCAAUAUGAACCAAGUGAGCAUGACUGUACAAAUUCAUACUACUUAAACCGAAAACGUCCAUAACUUCAAUCUAACUACUCGGGAAAUGUACAAUACCUCAUCCGCUAAAAUCUUAGAGCAAUUGAAGCAGACACUGCGGAGAAUACUGAGCACAGUCUUCAUGAAGCCAAUGUGAAACAUAGGUUUGGCGAGCUCAAGGUGACCGAAGUGACCGGGGCAGUCAGCCAUGUUCGCCAUACAAGUCUCGCACUUCAUCUUCCGAUCAAUCGUCCCCAGACGCGGGUCGCUCAAACCACCGAUCUUCGGCUUGCCUCUUUCCGUCGUCUCGCUGUGCUCUAUAUGCACAACAGACAUUUGUCUCUACAAAACACACCAUAAAACAAUAGACCAUCAUUUCCAACUCAAUCACACACUCAAUGCCGAAACUGAAAGUUCAAAACAUUCAAAGAAGUGAGAAUUACGAUCUCAUCGGGGCUGAGAAUGCCGAAUUGGACGACGCGGACUUUCGCGACCUCUGCCGGCGAGAAGGGGAACCGCAGAUCCAUUGCGACACCGGAGAUUCUACCCUAGGGUUUUCGAUUAUGAUUUAUUAUGCUAGCUGAUAUAUAAUAAUUCCAAAAUUAGAAACAAAUAUGGUUUUCAAGUACUUCAAAUUAUUCGCGGUUUCUGUUAAGUAACUGAUUUUUGGGGUUUUUGAAGAAAACUUUUUUCACGCUGCGCUCUUCUCUGAAGGAGGAGAGGCGGCUUUGAGACCAAAGAAGAGAAUGAGGGGUUGAAGGGGUAUUUAAAGAGAUGGAUGGCUUCGAAGUCGGCGCUUAAUGGGGUUGUUUGGCUACACAGUUAUGAGCUGGACAUCUUCCUCUCGUUUGGUCCAUCUAUUAAAAAAUCUUCUUAAUCUAUUUUUAAACAUAAUUUCAUCAACUAUUAUCCUUAUAAUUUUCAUUUUUUGUAAGACUCAUUUUUCACUUAUCAAGUAUACAAUUAAUUUUUAUUAAAAUUCAUGUCACCCUCCUUUAUAAAGAUCUUUGAGAAAUGAAGGGAGUGUUAAUUCCAAAUAUUUGGUAAAAUAAGUACAUAAAUACUCAUUUCGUCCCAACUUUUAGUAUCAAUUUAAGAAUGACACGUGUUUUAAUAAAGUUGUUAAGUGUGUUGUGAGUGGAAUAAGGGUCUCGCAUUUUACGUGAAUGUUAAAAUAAUUAAAGUGGAGUAAGGGUCUCACCUACUUUUACUAAAAAUAAAAAUGAAUAUCAAAAUAUGGAACGGCCAAAAAAGGAAAUAUGAAUACUAAAAGUUGGGACGAAGAUAGUAGUUUACAAGCUCUACAAAUAAGUUUCUACAAUUUAUAAGCUUUUCAAACUACAAACUUUUUACCAUAAAUUACUUUUUCAUAAUUUUAUACUUCCUUCAUCCCAAUUCNCUUAUAAUUUUUCAUUUUUUUGUAAGACUCAUUUUUUCACUUAUCAAGUAUACAAUUAAUUUUUAUUAAAAUUCAUGUCACCCUCCUUUAUAAAGAUCUUUGAGAAAUGAAGGGAGUGUUAAUUCCAAAUAUUUGGUAAAAUAAGUACAUAAAUACUCAUUUCGUCCCAACUUUUAGUAUCAAUUUAAGAAUGACACGUGUUUUAAUAAAGUUGUUAAGUGUGUUGUGAGUGGAAUAAGGGUCUCGCAUUUUACGUGAAUGUUAAAAUAAUUAAAGUGGAGUAAGGGUCUCACCUACUUUUACUAAAAAUAAAAAUGAAUAUCAAAAUAUGGAACGGCCAAAAAAGGAAAUAUGAAUACUAAAAGUUGGGACGAAGAUAGUAGUUUACAAGCUCUACAAAUAAGUUUCUACAAUUUAUAAGCUUUUCAAACUACAAACUUUUUACCAUAAAUUACUUUUUCAUAAUUUUAUACUUCCUUCAUCCCAAUUCAAUAGGCCACAAGACAAGGCUUGGACAUGGAUAUUAAGAAGCGAAUAGUUUAUAAUAAAAUACGAGAGAGAAAGUAGCUUUUUUUAGAGUAAAUUUGUGAAAAAAGUAGGAGAGAGUAGAGAUAAUUUUGUGGGAUCACAAUGAUAUUUGAUGUACAUAAUGAGUUGUGCGAAGGUGUUUGUUAUAUACUAUGAUUUUUUAUUUUAGGAAGUGACCUAUUGAAUUGGAACGUCCAAAUAAGGAUUCAUGACAUAUUUAAAUGGAACUGAGGGAGUAAUAUAUUUUACAAAAAUUAUUCAAUUAUACUUUAUUACUAUUUUCAUCAUAUACACUUUAAACCACUUUGCAAAAAUUAACUCAAUCAUAUAAAUACUUUCACAACUUAUAAGCUCUUACAAAAAUACAUUUUUAAAAUUUUUGAAACAUUUUAUAAAUUGCUACAAUUAUAAAUUUCUUAAAAUAAGCUUAUCCAAACAUCCCCUUAAUUCUACAACAAAAUUUUAACAAAUGGAGUAUAAAUGAGCUAUGAUUGGUAACAUAUUUUUCCUACAAAAAUAAUAAGCGAUAGGUAACAUAACUAGCGUGGGAACUAAGAAUCAAUCUGGUCUAUUAAUUUGAUUAAAUGAUCAUGAUUGAUUUCCAUAUUGAACAAUACAUAUAUAUGAUAAUGCAUCAGUUUAUGCCAGAAAUUAUGCCAUGCUGAUAAAUAAUACUCCAUUCGUCCCAAACGAAAUGUCCUAUUUCUUUUCGGUACGGAAAUUAAGAAAUGUGUAUAAAAUAGAUUAAGUGGGUUGGUGAAAAUUAUUUAAAUAUUAAGUAUAGAGAGAGAGUGUAGUGCCAAAAAAGGAAACAUGACAUUUCGUUUGAGAUAGCCCAAAAAGGAAAACAGUACAUUUCGUUUGGAACGGAGGGAGUAUAGUGCAUACUUAUAAUAAACAACGUAGUUUUAAGUGUGGUGCCCACUUCGGGGGAGCUUGUUGGAUUUAUAAUAAACGACGUAGUUUUCAUAUAUACAAAAAAUCCUCUUCCAUUGAGAUGGUUUCUUACAUUCUUGGCUUCAGCUGCGCAUGGCUUAUCUAUGCAUGCAUUAUUUUAGUUAUAAGCAAUUUAGUAAAUAAAAUAACAAAAUGGAUGGAUUAACAUUGCCACAAAACAUGAUGACACUAUUAGUAUUUUACUUCAAAGGGGAAGAAAAAAAAACUUUAUACGAAUGAAAGAAUGCCAUGUUAAACAAUCUCUCUUAGCCAAAUUGGAAAGCUAUGAGACCAAACAAAUGGACUACAAAUUAAAAAAGAGGUUAUAAAGUGACACGGGACUUAUACGCCACGUGCGGAGUUCAGCUGCCCGACUGCCGGAGUUCAGCUGCCCGACUGCCGGCCUGGUAUGAAAAUGAUUGGGUUAGGGUAGGGUGUCCCAUGCAACAAAUCCUCAUUCCACCUUCCCUUUGUCAGUUUCAUUUACCACACUAAGCCAUGUAAACAAUACCAACACAAUCACAAAAUCAGCAAAUCUAUUCGAACUCGCUUGGCCUAUGGUGAAAGCAGGAUGGAAAAGAAAGCAAAAUAAGCAAAGGUAAAUAUACCUGCUUGGACUGGAAGGAGAAAAAGAUGGUGAUGUUGGGCUGCAAAACCACAGAAAAUAAUAUGUCAAGGUAGCAUUUGAAAGAGAGUUUCACCAGUUCAGAAUAUAUCCUAGUCUUGUCGGGGAAAUAAAACAAAAAGAGUAAUACUCUAGGGAACAAUUUAUCCAGCUUCCUCUGUGGACAAUCAAGUAUAGAAACAGAGUAAUACAUUUAACCAAGGUUAUAUUUGUUAGCAAACUUGAAGAGCAAAAAUUAAAAUAAGGCUUGCCAAAAGUUACCUGAGACUCGGAGAAUAUGGACUGUACGGACUUGAAGGUGUGAUUUUUGGACUUGUAGGUGAAUAUGCUUGUGAAGGGCUAUACCUUGCUGAAGGAUUGUAACUUGGUGAGGUCAGACUGUAAGUCGGUGAGGUGGGACUGUAUCCAGGUGAAGUUGGGCUGUAGGCAGGAGAGGUAGGGCUGUAUGAAGGUGAGGUUGGGCUGUACGAUGGAGAGGUUGGGCUGUAAGAUGGUGAGGUUGGGCUGUAAGAGGGAGACGUGGGGCUGUAAGCCGGAGAAGUUGGGUUAUAAGCAGGUGAGGUUGGGCUGUAAGAGGGAGACGUGGGGCUGUAAGCCGGAGAAGUUGGGCUAUACGCAGGUGAGGUUGGGCUGUAUGCUGGAGAAGUUGGGCUGUAGCUCGGAGAUGUAGGGCUGUAGCUCGGAGAUGUGGGGCUAUAGCUAGGAGAUGUUGGGCUGUAGGAAGGAGACGUUG